GCCUAUAGUCAAUAUAUACACGCACCACACAAUUACCUCAAAAUAAACCAUUUAAUUAUAUUAGUAGAGGUGAUCGAACAACAUUAAGCGCUUAAGAUAAAGUACCGCAAGGGAAAGAUGAAAUAAAAAUGAAAAAAUUUAAGCUAAUAAAAGCAGAGAUUUAAACUCGUACCUUUUGCAUCAUGGUCUAGCUAGUCUAACCAAGCAAAACGAAAUUUUAGUUUGUCCCCCCGAAACUAAGCGAGCUACUUCAAAACAGCCUCAGAGCUAACCCGUCCCUGUAGCAAUAGGGUGGGAAGAUUUUCAAGUAGAAGUGAUAAACCUAUCGAGCUUAGAAAUAGCUGGUUAUUCAAUAAAAGAAUUAAAGUUCUGCCUUAAAUCUCAACAUGAUAUCAAACAAUCCCCAAAAUUUAAGAGUUGUUCUAAUAAGGCACAGCUUAUUAGAAAAAGGAUACAACCUCAACAAUAGGGUACCCCUUCCCCCUUUUGGUUAAGUGGGCCUAAAAGCAGCCAUCUAGAAAAGCGUUACAGCUUUACCAAAUUUUCAAAUGAAUUUCAUAAACAACUAUCAACCCUCACACACCAUUGAAUAAUUCUAUAACAAUAUAGAAAAUAUUAUGCUAGAACUAGUAACAAGAAUUUAAUAUUCUCCAAAAUGCAAGUAUUAACCAAAAUGGAUUCUCCAUUGGUAAUUAACGAAAAUGAGCCCGAUACAGUAACCGCCAAGAAAACCCUGUAUAAAUUAUUCGUCAACCUAACACUAGAGCAUUCCCGGAAAGAUUUAAAGAAAAAGAAGGAAUUCAGCAAAUUAUGACCUCGCCUGUUUACCAAAAACAUCGCCUCUUGAUUAACAAUAAGAGGUCCAGCCUGCCCAGUGAUAAAAUUCAACGGCCACAGUACCCUAACUGUGCGAAGGUAGCAUAAUCACUUGUUCUUUAAAUAAGGACUUGUAUCAACGGCAUCACGAAGGUCAUACUGUCUCCCUUUUCUAAUCAGUGAAACUGAUCUCCCCGUGAAGAAGCGGGGAUAAAACUAUAAGACGAGAAGACCCCAUGGAGCUUUAAACCCUUCAGCAACUCAACUACACACUCCUUCAUAAUCUUAGAGCAAUGCCCAAAGGUUUUAGGCUGGGGUGGCCGCGGAGUAAAAAUCAACCUCCACGACGAAAAGAACUAAAUCUUUAUCCUAGAGUUACUACUCUAAGAAUUAGAACACUAACGUACAAUGACCCAAUAAAUGAUCAACGAACCAAGUUACCCUGGGGAUAACAGCGCAAUCUACUUCAAGAGCCCAUAUCGACAAGUAGGCUUACGACCUCGAUGUUGGAUCAGGGUAUCC
rnacentral:rRNA from 1 species